rnacentral:rRNA from 1 species
GGAAUAUUGCACAAUGGGGGAAACCCUGAUGCAGCGACGCCGCGUGAGUGAAGAAGUAUUUCGGUAUGUAAAGCUCUAUCAGCAGGAAAGAAAAUGACGGUACCUGACUAAGAAGCCCCGGCUAACUACGUGCCAGCAGCCGCGGUAAUACGUAGGGGGCAAGCGUUAUCCGGAAUUACUGGGUGUAAAGGGAGCGUAGACGGUUAAGUAAGUCUGGAGUGAAAGGCCGGGGCCCAACCCCGGGACUGCUCUGGAAACUAUUCAACUUGAGUGCAGGAGAGGUAAGCGGAAUUCCUAGUGUAGCGGUGAAAUGCGUAGAUAUUAGGAGGAACACCAGUGGCGAAGGCGGCUUACUGGACUGUAACUGACGCUGAGGCACGAAAGUGCGGGGAUCAAA